GACGAACGCUGGCGGCGUGCCUAAUACAUGCAAGUAGAACGCACAGUUUAUACCGUAGCUUGCUACACCAUAAACUGUGAGUUGCGAACGGGUGAGUAACGCGUAGGUAACCUGCCUGGUAGCGGGGGAUAACUAUUGGAAACGAUAGCUAAUACCGCAUAAUAUUGAUUAUUGCAUGAUAAUUGAUUGAAAGAUGCUAUUGCAUCACUACCAGAUGGACCUGCGUUGUAUUAGCUAGUAGGUGAGGUAACGGCUCACCUAGGCGACGAUACAUAGCCGACCUGGGAGGGUGAUCGGCCACACUGGGACUGAGACACGGCCCAGACUCCUACGGGAGGCAGCAGUAGGGAAUCUUCGGCAAUGGACGAAAGUCUGACCGAGCAACGCCGCGUGAGUGAAGAAGGUUUUCGGAUCGUAAAGCUCUGUUGUAAGAGAAGAACGGGUGUGAGAGUGGAAAGUUCACACUGUGACGGUAGCUUACCAGAAAGGGACGGCUAACUACGUG
rnacentral:rRNA from 1 species